rnacentral:rRNA from 1 species
UCCCAGACUCCUACGGGAGGCAGCAGUGGGGGAUAUUGCACAAUGGGGGAAACCCUGAUGCAGCGACGCCGCGUGAGUGAGGAAGUAUUUCGGUAUGUAAAGCUCUAUCAGCAGGGAAGAAAAUGACGGUACCUGACUAAGAAGCCCCGGCUAACUACGUGCCAGCAGCCGCGGUAAUACGUAGGGGGCAAGCGUUAUCCGGAUUUACUGGGUGUAAAGGGAGCGUAGACGGGAUAACAAGUUGGUUGUGAAACCCCUCGGCUCAACUGAGGAACUGCAACCAAAACUAUUAUUCUUGAGUGCAGGAGAGGAAAGUGGAAUUCCUAGUGUAGCGGUGAAAUGCGUAGAUAUUAGGAAGAACACCGGUGGCGAAGGCGACUUUCUGGACUGUAACUGACGUUGAGGCACGAAAGUGUGGGGAGCAAACAGGAUUAGAUACCCCCGUA